rnacentral:rRNA from 1 species
UACGUAGGGUGCGAGCGUUUGUCCGGAAUUACUGGGCGUAAAGAGCUCGUAGGCGGUGUGUCGCGUCGGCCGUGAAAACCUGCAGCUUAACUGUGGGCGUGCGGUCGAUACGGGCAUCACUGGAGUUCGGCAGGGGAGACUGGAAUUCCUGGUGUAGCGGUGAAAUGCGCAGAUAUCAGGAGGAACACCGGUGGCGAAGGCGGGUCUCUGGGCCGAUACUGACGCUGAGGAGCGAAAGCGUGGGGGAGCGAACAGG